UCCUCGAUGGUCUAGUGGUUAUGAUUUCCGCUUGUCAUUAACUUGCCAAGCGCGGGAGACCAGGGUUCGAUUCCCUGUCGGGGAG
rnacentral:tRNA from 2 species